rnacentral:rRNA from 1 species
GACGAACGCUGGCGGCGUGCCUAAUACAUGCAAGUCGAACGCAGUGGGGACGGGUGAGUAACACGUGGGUAACCUCCCAUCAGAGGGGAUAACACUUGGAAACAGGUGCUAAACCGAUACUGAUGGAUGGACCCGCGGUGCAUUAGCUAGUUGGUGAGGUAACGGCUCACCAAGGCCACGAUGCAUAGCCGGCCGGAGAGGUAGAUCGGCCAACCUGGGACUGAGACACGACCAUGAGUCCUACGGGAGGCAGCAGUAGGGAAUCUUCGGCAAUGGAGGAAAGUCUGACCGAGCACCGCCGCAUGAGUGAAGAAGGUUUUCGGAUCGUAAAACGCUGUUGUGAGAGAAGCGGUAUCUAACCAGAAAGCCACGGCUAACUACGUGCCAGCCACCGCGGUAAUAC